rnacentral:rRNA from 1 species
GAACGCUAGCUACAGGCUUAACACAUGCAAGUCGAGGGGCAGCAUCAUCAAAGCUUGCUUUGAUGGAUGGCGACCGGCGCACGGGUGAGUAACACGUAUCCAACCUGCCGACAACACUGGGAUAGCCUUUCGAAAGAAAGAUUAAUACCGGAUGGCAUAGUUUUCCCGCAUGGGAUAAUUAUUAAAGAAUUUCGGUUGUCGAUGGGGAUGCGUUCCAUUAGGCAGUUGGCGGGGUAACGGCCCACCAAACCAACGAUGGAUAGGGGUUCUGAGAGGAAGGUCCCCCACAUUGGAACUGAGACACGGUCCAAACUCCUACGGGAGGCAGCAGUGAGGAAUAUUGGUCAAUGGACGAGAGUCUGAACCAGCCAAGUAGCGUGAAGGAUGACUGCCCUAUGGGUUGUAAACUUCUUUUAUACGGGAAUAAAGUGAGCCACGUGUGGCUUUUUGUAUGUACCGUAUGAAUAAGGAUCGGCUAACUCCGUGCCAGCAGCCGCGGUAAUACGGAGGAUCCGAGCGUUAUCCGGAUUUAUUGGGUUUAAAGGGAGCGUAGGCGGGUUGUUAAGUCAGUUGUGAAAGUUUGCGGCUCAACCGUAAAAUUGCAGUUGAUACUGGCGACCUUGAGUGCAACAGAGGUAGGCGGAAUUCGUGGUGUAGCGGUGAAAUGCUUAGAUAUCACGAAGAACUCCGAUUGCGAAGGCAGCUUACUGGAUUGUAACUGACGCUGAUGCUCGAAAGUGUGGGUAUCAAACAGGAUUAGAUACCCUGGUAGUCCACACAGUAAACGAUGAAUACUCGCUGUUGGCGAUAUACGGUCAGCGGCCAAGCGAAAGCAUUAAGUAUUCCACCUGGGGAGUACGCCGGCAACGGUGAAACUCAAAGGAAUUGACGGGGGCCCGCACAAGCGGAGGAACAUGUGGUUUAAUUCGAUGAUACGCGAGGAACCUUACCCGGGCUUAAAUUGCAACUGACGGAACCGGAAACGGUUCUUUCUUCGGACAGUUGUGAAGGUGCUGCAUGGUUGUCGUCAGCUCGUGCCGUGAGGUGUCGGCUUAAGUGCCAUAACGAGCGCAACCCUUACGGGUAGUUACCAUCAGGUUAUGCUGGGGACUCUACCCGGACUGCCGUCGUAAGAUGUGAGGAAGGUGGGGAUGACGUCAAAUCAGCACGGCCCUUACGUCCGGGGCUACACACGUGUUACAAUGGGGGGUACAGAAGGCAGCUACACGGCGACGUGGUGCUAAUCCCAAAAGCCUCUCUCAGUUCGGAUUGGAGUCUGCAACCCGACUCCAUGAAGCUGGAUUCGCUAGUAAUCGCGCAUCAGCCACGGCGCGGUGAAUACGUUCCCGGGCCUUGUACACACCGCCCGUCAAGCCAUGAAAGCCGGGGGUACCUGAAGUACGUAACCGCGAGGAGCGUCCUAGGGUAAAACUGGUGAUAGG